rnacentral:rRNA from 1 species
UACGUAGGGUGCAAGCGUUAAUCGGAAUUACUGGGCGUAAAGCGUGCGCAGGCGGUUAUGCAAGACAGAGGUGAAAUCCCCGGGCUCAACCUGGGAACUGCAUCCGAGACUGCAUUGCUAGAGUAUGGGAGAGGGAAGCGGAAUUUCUGGUGUAGCAGUGAAAUGCGUAGAUAUCAGAAGGAACAUCAGUGGCGAAGGCGGCUUCCUGGACCAAUACUGACGAUCAGGUGCGAAAGCGUGGGGAGCAAACAGG